rnacentral:lncRNA from 1 species
GGUAGAAUAAAAAAGUGGAAGAAGAGCGAAUUUGCUCUUUCUUUUCUUAAGCUGAGAUAUGUGUCUCCUCCUGCCUUCAGACAUCAGAGCUCCUGUUUUCAGGUCUUUGGACCCCAGAAUUCACAUCAGCAUUCCCUCUGGUUCUCAGGCCUUUCAACUUAGACUGAAUUACAUCACCAGCUUCCCUGGUUCUCCUGCUUGCAGAUGGCAGAUUCUUGGCUUCAUAAUCCUGUCUUUCUCCAGAAUUCAGACAACUCUGAAAACCCAAGUCUGUUGCUAGAAGAUAUCUUACUCUAAGAACACACUUUAUUUCAGACAGUGGGAGGUGAAAGACAGAUGAUGGAUAGUAGACUGAGAUGAAAAAAAAAAAAAAAACCCAGACUGGCAGAAAGAAGUUCCUCAGAAAAGAAAGAACAAGGAAUAUGGUUAAUGUUUGGUGGCUGUUGCAACAGAGGUAUGUAUAUUUGCUUAGAGUAUGGCAAGGCGAAUAGGCAGAGAAUUUUGUGGGAAUAUCAUUAAAAUAUCUGAGUAAAAAUAGGAUUAGUAGCAACAAAUGUAUGCUUAUGAAGGGUAAAUAGUGAUUAGAUAACUUUUGUUAGGGUUUUCAGUGUGCAGAAAACUGGUCACAAUUCUCAACUCUUCAUGAACUGAAACAAACAGUAAGACACCUACUCUGUAAAACUCCUCAGCCUGAUACUCGUUUCAUUCAUUCAACAGUAAUUUUGGUGCCCUAAUUUUACAUGAGGUGCUUAGUCAGCAGAACUACCCAGCACAUAUACCAGGUAAACAAAAUUUCAUCUCAAAGUAAAAAAGAUGUUUUCCCUUAUCUAUCUCUUUGAUGUGUUUCAGAUUACAUUAUUAACCUUUGCAUUUCAAAGAGACAUUUGCAAAGUUUUUUUUUUUUUUUCGAGACGGAGUUUCGCUCUUGUUGCCCAGGCUGGAGUGCAAUGGCAGAAUCUCAGCUCACCACAACCUCCGCCUCCCAGGUUCAAGCCAUUCUCCAGCCUCAGCCUCCCGAGUAGCUUGGAUUACAGGCAUGUGCCACCACACCUGGCUAAUUUUUUUGUAUUUUUAGUAGAGACGGGGUUUCUCCAUUUUGGUCAGGCUGGUCUCGAACUCCCGACCUCAGUUGAUCCGCCUGCCUCCUAAAGUGCUGGGAUUACAGUUGUGAGCCACCGCGCCCAGUGACAUUUGCAAGGUGUUCAUUCGAAAGCAUAAAGCUAUUAUUAAAAUCUUCCAAGUUUUCCUGAUUUUUGAAUUAUCACCUAUGUUUGAUCACAUACUGUUUUAAUGUUUGCUUCCAAACAGUUUUCUGCAUCUCUGUAUCACUGUGGAAACAUUUGUUUUUCUUUUCCUCCCAGAAAAGAUGACUUUUGAUUGCACUAGAUGUGUUAUUUAGAAACUAGUCAAACGAAAGAACUGUUUAAGAUUGAGAGCAGAGAGUGUGUCACAUCAACUGUCAUGUAUGCACUCUGUCUAUAUCAUGUUCAAAAGUAGGGAGAGUUGGGGGGGUGUUAUUUGUUUAUUAAGUAUCUCAUGUUACAUACUUUCAAAGAAAUUACCACUUAUUCUUUUGUAAAUAAUGUUUUAAGAAACGUGUCAUUUUAGUGUUUGUUCUCUAGAAAUGAUAAAUAAUUAAAAAUAGACCUGGACCACCAGCUUGCCAGAGGUUUAAUGAAGUUAUGAAAACUUUGUUGACCAAUAUAUCCUUUGGAAGAUUGACUUAGACCACCAUUGUCUAGUAAAACUCUCUGAGAUUAGGAAAACUUUCUAUAUCUGCUCUGUCUGAUGGUGUAACCCAUAGCCACAUAUGGCUAUCGAGUGCUUGAAAUGUUUCUUUUAUUACAGAAGUAACUAACAUUUUAAGUUAUUUGAGUUUGAUAAAUUUAAAUAUAAAUAUAAAUAGACUCAUGUGGUGAGAGAUGACCAUGUUGGGUGGACAUAUUUAGACAAAUGCUGAGAUUAAACGUAUACUUCAGAUUUUGUUAAAAAUUUCAUUCAGAGAACUAUAGAAAACUGAGAAGAAUAGUUAAUGUUUUGCUAAAACCCCAAGCUGAGUGUCUGGCACACAGGUGUCAUUCAGAGAGUGUUACAUUUUUCCCUUUCCUUCUUCUUACGAUGUUACAGUAUCACAGUGCAUAUAGGUAAUAUAUAGCAAAUUAAAACAUUAAACAUUUAGGCCAGGUGAGGUGGCUUACGCUUGUAAUCCUAGCACUUUGGGAGGCCGAGACGGGUUGCAUGAGCUCAAGAGUUUGAGACCAGCCUGGGCAACAUGGUGAAACCCCGUCUUUACAAAAAAUACAGAAAAAUUAGCUGGGCAUGGUGGUGUGGGCCUGUGGUCCCAACUACUUGGAGGGCCGAGGCAAGAGGAUCACUUGAACCUGGGAGGUCAAGGCUGCAGUGAGCCGAGAUCCUGCCACUGCACUCCAGCCUGGGUGACAAAGUGAGACCUUGUCUCAAAAAUAAAUGAAUAAAUAAAUAAAUAAAUAAAUAAAUAAAACAUUUAUAUUUGUUACAGGUUUUUAGCAUGAUGAGAAAGUAUGCAACAGGAAAAAAUCUUGUGAGUCAGUUGAAAUAGAUUCUUUUUAUAGUUCUAUGCGUAACUAAUACGGUAUUAGAAAGUAUUGCCUUCUUUCUUUUCUCUCCAAUAGUGGAAUGGGGAUGUAACCACCUUUCUCCCAUCUAAUACUGUGAUUUUACUAAGUUGAACCAUAUGACGUUGUAAAUUUUAUACCUUAAACGUGACAACUAUGAACAGUUUCAUUCAGUUCAACAGAUUAAUUAGGAAAAAUAAAUGGCACACUGAAGGAAAGGCAACGUGUAUUUUAGAAUGUAGUUAUUUCCCAAAUUGUUAAACACUUAUUAUUUUCAGAGAGUAUAUUUUUGGGUAAAAUAAAUAAAAAUGGAAGUGUCUAUAUAAAUAUGUUUAUCUGUGUGUGCAUGUAUAUAUGCAUAACUUGCCUCCAGGCUGUAAUGUAGAGGUUUAAGCUGCAUACUCUCUAGGAGCAUGACUUAAGAAAAAAGUUUAGUCUCUGUUUCUCUCAGUUCAUAUAUGGCUUACAUUUGCACAUAGUUGGGUAAAUUGAAAUUAAAAAUCUCCUUUUAAUUGAGAAGAA